UACAGAGGUGGCUAGCGUUGCUCGGAAUCACUGGGCUUAAAGGGCGCGUAGGCGGGCGGCCAAGUCAGGGGUGAAAUCUUUCGGCCCAACCGGAAAAGUGCUUCUGAUACUGGCUGUCUCGAGGGAGGUAGGGGCGCGUGGAACUGGUGGUGGAGCGGUGAAAUGCGUAGAUAUCACUAGGAACGCCGGUGGCGAAAGCGACGCGCUGGACCUUUUCUGACGCUGAGGUGCGAAAGCGUGGGGAGCAAACAGG
rnacentral:rRNA from 1 species